CCUACGGGAGGCAGCAGUGAGGAAUAUUGGUCAAUGGGCGUAAGACUGAACCAGCCAAGCCGCGUGAGGGAUGAAGGUUCUGUGUAUCGUAAACCUCUUUUGUAAGGGAAUAAAGAGCGGGACGCGUCCCGUGUUGCAUGUACCUUAUGAAUAAGGAUCGGCUAACUCCGUGCCAGCAGCCGCGGUAAUACGGAGGAUGCGAGCGUUAUCCGGAUUUAUUGGGUUUAAAGGGUGCGUAGGCGGCCUUUUAAGUCAGCGGUGAAAGUCUGUGGCUCAACCAUAGAAUGGCCGUUGAAACUGGGAGGCUUGAGUUUGUGUGAGGCAGGCGGAAUGCGUGGUGUAGCGGUGAAAUGCUUAGAUAUCACGCAGAACCCCGAUUGCGAAGGCAGCCUGCCAGGCCAUGACUGACGCUGAUGCACGAAAGCGUGGGGAUCGAACAGGAUUAGAUACCCUGGUAGUC
rnacentral:rRNA from 1 species